rnacentral:rRNA from 1 species
GAUUCUGGCUCAGAUUGAACGCUGGCGGCGUGCUUAACACAUGCAAGUCGCGCGUGAAAGGACUUCGGUCCGAGUAAAGCGGCGCACGGGUGAGUAACGCGUGGAUGAUCUACCCAUGAGUUAGGAAUAACGGCUGGAAACGGUCGCUAAUACCAAAUACGCUCCGAUUUCAACUUCGGGGGAAAGGUGGCCUCUGCUUGCAAGCUACUGCUCAUGGAUGAGUCCGCGUCCCAUUAGCUAGUUGGUGGGGUAACGGCCCACCAAGGCGACGAUGGGUAGCCGGUCUGAGAGGAUGACCGGCCACACUGGGACUGGAACACGGCCCAGACUCCUACGGGAGGCAGCAGUGGGGAAUAUUGCGCAAUGGGCGAAAGCCUGACGCAGCGACGCCGCGUGAGGGAUGAAGGUCCUCGGAUCGUAAACCUCUGUCAGGAGGGAAGAACCGCCACGGUGCUAAUCAGCCGUGGUCUGACGGUACCUCCAAAGGAAGCACCGGCUAACUCCGUGCCAGCCGCUGC